UCGUGACCCUGGCACGGCUGUGCUGGAAGAAAGCAGUGCAAUAAAGAGUAAUCCCUUGUGACUGGCAUGAAGGGUGUCUCCCAGUGAAAAAGUGGUAAUGGGAGUAACCUCUUCAACAAGGGCAACAUUGUCCACUCGGCAGCUUGGCUAUCUCUUGGAGAAGAGCUUUGCACCAGGAUCAGCCUUGAUUCACCCCAGACAUUCAGAUGGAAACCCAGAGA